rnacentral:rRNA from 1 species
UGGGGAAUAUUGCACAAUGGGGGAAACCCUGAUGCAGCGACGCCGCGUGAGCGAAGAAGUAUUUUCGGUAUGUAAAGCUCUAUCAGCAGGGAAGAAGAAAUGACGGUACCUGACUAAGAAGCUCCGGCUAAAUACGUGCCAGCAGCCGCGGUAAUACGUAUGGAGCAAGCGUUAUCCGGAUUUACUGGGUGUAAAGGGAGCGUAGGCGGCGAGAUAAGUCUGAUGUGAAAGCCCGGGGCUCAACCCCGGGACUGCAUUGGAAACUGUCUUGCUGGAGUGUCGGAGGGGUAAGUGGAAUUCCUAGUGUAGCGGUGAAAUGCGUAGAUAUUAGGAGGAACGACCGGUGGCG